rnacentral:lncRNA from 1 species
ACGAAUUAUCCAUGCACUACGGGCCAAGGAUAUUCGUGUUUUCAACAAUGGUCAUGAUUAUACCGAAUAAUCCAUGGUUAUAAUCAUACAAACAACUGUCCAUCAAUGAACUACAGGCCAAUGAAGACUUUUACCACAUCAUUCGUUACAUUACGGUCAUGAUUAUACCGAAUAAUCCCUGGUCAUAAUCAUACCAAGUCCAUCUAUGCACGUAAGCCAAAGAUGACUUUCAUCGCAAUAUAAGCAUGAGGAUGAUGUCAAUGAUAUAAGAAAU